rnacentral:rRNA from 1 species
UACGAGGUGGUGCAAGCGUUAUUCGGAAUCACUGGGCGUAAAGGGAGCGUAGGCUGCGUGGUAAGUGCUGCUGUGAAAAGUCCAGGGCUCAACCCUGGGAUGCCGGUGGAUACUGUCGAGCUCGAGUCCGGAAGAGGCGAGUGGAAUCCUGGUGUAGCGGUGAAAUGCGACAGAUAUCAGGAGGAACACCGAUGGCGAAGGCAGCUCGCUGGGACGUGACUGACGCUGAGACGCGAAGCGUGGGGAGCAAACAGG